rnacentral:rRNA from 1 species
CCUACGGGUGGCAGCAGUGAGGAAUAUUGGUCAAUGGACGAGAGUCUGAACCAGCCAAGUAGCGUGAAGGAUGACUGCCCUAUGGGUUGUAAACUUCUUUUAAAUGGGAAUAAAAUGUUCCACGUGUGGGAUUUUGUAUGUACCAUAUGAAUAAGGAUCGGCUAACUCCGUGCCAGCAGCCGCGGUAAUACGGAGGAUCCGAGCGUUAUCCGGAUUUAUUGGGUUUAAAGGGAGCGUAGGUGGAUUGUUAAGUCAGUUGUGAAAGUUUGCGGCUCAACCGUAAAAUUGCAGUUGAAACUGGCAGUCUUGAGUACAGUAGAGGUGGGCGGAAUUCGUGGUGUAGCGGUGAAAUGCUUAGAUAUCACGAAGAACUCCGAUUGCGAAGGCAGUUCACUGGACUGCAACUGACACUGAGGCUCGAAAGUGUGGGUAUCAAACAGGAUUAGAUACCCUUGUAGUC